rnacentral:rRNA from 1 species
CAGUCGCCACGGUAAUACGUAGGGUGCGAGCGUUAAUCGGAAUUACUGGGCGUAAAGCGUGCGCAGGCGGUUCGUUAAGACAGAUGUGAAAUCCCCGGGCUUAACCUGGGAACUGCAUUUGUGACUGGCGAGCUAGAGUAUGGCAGAGGGGGGUAGAAUUCCACGUGUAGCAGUGAAAUGCGUAGAGAUGUGGAGGAAUACCGAUGGCGAAGGCAGCCCCCUGGGCCAAUACUGACGCUCAUGCACGAAAGCGUGGGGAGCAAACAGGAUUAGAUACCCCGGUAGUCCCUGUCUCUUAUAC